rnacentral:rRNA from 1 species
CGUCGACCGGCGCACGGGUGAGUAACGCGUAUCCAACCUGCCCCACACUAAGGGAUAACCCGCAGAAAUGUGGACUAAUACCUUAUAUUUUCCACCAAGGGCAUCGUCGAUGGAACAAAGAUUGAUCGGUAUGGGAUGGGGAUGCGUCCGAUUAGGUUGUUGGCGGGGUAACGGCCCACCAAGCCUUCGAUCGGUAGGGGUUCUGAGAGGAAGGUCCCCCACAUAGGAACUGAGACACGGUCCUAACUCC